AAUGAUGGUAGAGGUGCGAAUUUUAAGAGUAGCCUGUUUGAGGAGUAUGGUCUCCAAUGAUAACUGGUGAAAGGAAUGUUCGCCGAAGUGAGUAAAGCACCAUUUGCUUUAGUUGCUGGUUUUACAUUUAAGAGAUGUAAAAUUGUCAAGAAAUCUAUUUCUUGGAGAGCUAUCUCAUUG
rnacentral:ncRNA from 2 species